rnacentral:rRNA from 1 species
CGAGAUACACACGGGAACACACCCACUGAUUGAUAUCUCCAUAGAGUUUCGGCUGUCAUAGCGAAGGGGAAACGCCCGGCUCCAUUCCGAACCCGGAAGCUAAGCCCUUCAGCGCCGAUGGUACUGCACUGGUGACGGUGUGGGAGAGUAGGACGCAGCCGGAC